GCCCAGGGUUAGUCGGCACCUAAGCUGAGGCCGAAAGGCGUAGGCGAUGGAGAGCAGGUCAACAUUCCUGCACCACCCGUAGGACGUUUGUACGAUGGGGGGACGCAGAAGGAUAGGCAUACGUGCGAUUGGAAAUGCACGGCCGCCAAGUAGGGGGAGCUCCCAGGCAAAUCCGGGAGCUCGUUAACCCUGAAUACGGCGGGGAAGCAGGGCUUCGGUCCUGUGAACUUGCUGAAUCCACGCUGCCGAGAAAAUCCUCUAAGGAGUUUUACGGGUGACCGUACCGCAAACCGACACAGGUAGAUGAGGAGAGAAUCCUAAGGCGCACGUGUGAGCCCUCUCUAAGGAACUAGGCAAGUUGACCCCGUAACUUCGGGAGAAGGGGUGCCUCGGUAGGGUUUAGUUGCAUAAACAAAGCCCGAGGAGGCCGCAGAAAAAUGGCUCUUGCGACUGUUUAGUAAAAACACAGGACUCUGCAAAGACAUAAAAUCGAUGUAUAGGG
rnacentral:rRNA from 1 species